UGGGGAAUAUUGGACAAUGGGGGAAACCCUGAUCCAGCAAUGCCGCGUGAAUGAAGAAGGCCUUAGGGUUGUAAAGUUCUUUCACCUGUGAAGAUAAUGACGGUAGCAGGAGAAGAAGCCCCGGCUAACUCCGUGCCAGCAGCCGCGGUAAGACGGAGGGGGCUAGCGUUGUUCGGAAUGACUGGGCGUAAAGGGCGCGUAGGCGGUUUUUUAAGUGAGGCGUGAAAGCCCUGGGCUUAACCCAGGAGGUGCGUUUCAUACUGGAAAGCUUGAGUACGAGAGAGGAAAGCGGAAUUCCUAGUGUAGAGGUGAAAUUCGUAGAUAUUAGGAAGAACACCAGUGGCGAAGGCGGCUUUCUGGCUCGUAACUGACGCUGAGGCGCGAAAGCGUGGGGAGCAAACA
rnacentral:rRNA from 1 species